CAGCAGCCGCGGGAAUACGAAGGGUGCAAGCGUUAAUCGGAAUUAUUGGGCGUAAAGCGUGCGUAGGCGGUUUGUUAAGUCUGUUGUGAAAUCCCCGGGCUCAACCUGGGAAUGGCAAUGGAUACUGGCAAGCUAGAGUGUGUCAGAGGAUGGUGGAAUUCCCGGUGUAGCGGUGAAAUGCGUUGAGAUCGGGAGGAACAUCAGUGGCGAAGGCGGCCAUCUGGGACAACACUGACGCUGAGGCACGAAAGCGUGGGGAGCAAACAGGAUUAGAUACCCGCGUAGUCCCUGUCUCUUAUAC
rnacentral:rRNA from 1 species